UGGGGAAUAUUGGACAAUGGGCGAAAGCCUGAUCCAGCCAUGCCGCGUGUGUGAAGAAGGUCUUCGGAUUGUAAAGCACUUUAAGUUGGGAGGAAGGGCAGUAAGCGAAUACCUUGCUGUUUUGACGUUACCGACAGAAUAAGCACCGGCUAACUCUGUGCCAGCAGCCGCGGUAAUACAGAGGGUGCAAGCGUUAAUCGGAAUUACUGGGCGUAAAGCGCGCGUAGGUGGUUCGUUAAGUUGAAUGUGAAAGCCCCGGGCUCAACCUGGGAACUGCAUCCAAAACUGGCGAGCUAGAGUAGGGCAGAGGGUGGGGGAAUUUCCUGUGUAGCGGUGAAAUGCGUAGAUAUAGGAAGGAACACCAGUGGCGAAGGCGACAACCUGGGCUCAUACUGACACUGAGGUGCGAAAGCGUGGGGAGCAAACAGG
rnacentral:rRNA from 1 species